rnacentral:rRNA from 1 species
CAUGCAAGUCGAGCGAACGGACGAGAAGCUUGCUUCUCUGAUGUUAGCGGCGGACGGGUGAGUAACACGUGGAUAACCUACCUAUAAGACUGGGAUAACUUCGGGAAACCGGAGCUAAUACCGGAUGAUAUUUUGAACCGCAUGGUUCAAAAGUGAAAGACGGUCUUGCUGUCACUUAUAGAUGGAUCCGCGCUGCAUUAGCUAGUUGGUAAGGUAACGGCUUACCAAGGCAACGAUGCAUAGCCGACCUGAGAGGGUGAUCGGCCACACUGGAACUGAGACACGGUCCAGACUCCUACGGGAGGCAGCAGUAGGGAAUCUUCCGCAAUGGGCGAAAGCCUGACGGAGCAACGCCGCGUGAGUGAUGAAGGUCUUCGGAUCGUAAAACUCUGUUAUUAGGGAAGAACAUAUGUGUAAGUAACUGUGCACAUCUUGACGGUACCUAAUCAGAAAGCCACGGCUAACUACGUGCCAGCAGCCGCGGUAAUACGUAGGUGGCAAGCGUUAUCCGGAAUUAUUGGGCGUAAAGCGCGCGUAGGCGGUUUUUUAAGUCUGAUGUGAAAGCCCACGGCUCAACCGUGGAGGGUCAUUGGAAACUGGAAAACUUGAGUGCAGAAGAGGAGAGUGGAAUUCCAUGUGUAGCGGUGAAAUGCGCAGAGAUAUGGAGGAACACCAGUGGCGAAGGCGACUUUCUGGUCUGUAACUGACGCUGAUGUGCGAA